rnacentral:rRNA from 1 species
UACGUAGGGUGCGAGCGUUAAUCGGAAUUACUGGGCGUAAAGCGUGCGCAGGCGGUUUUGUAAGCCAGAUGUGAAAUCCCCGGGCUUAACCUGGGAAUGGCAUUUGGGACUGCAAGGCUCGAGUGCGGCAGAGGAGACUGGAAUUCCUGGUGUAGCAGUGAAAUGCGUAGAUAUCAGGAGGAACACCGAUGGCGAAGGCAGGUCUCUGGCUGGACACUGACCGCUCAUGCACGAAAGCGUGGGGAGC